rnacentral:rRNA from 1 species
ACGGCCGUACCAUGCUGAAUAUACCGGUUCUCGUUAGAUCACCGAAGUCAAGCAGCAUUGGACGCGGUCAGUACUUGGGAGGGUGACCACCUGGGAACACUGCGUGCCGUU